rnacentral:rRNA from 1 species
UGGGAACUCUGGGGAGACUGCCGGUGAUAAACCGGAGGAAGGCGGGGAUGACGUCAAGUCCUCAUGGCCCUUACAUCCCGGGCUACACACGUGCUACAAUGGCAGGUACAGAGGGCUGCGAAGCCGCGAGGUGGAGCGAAUCCCAGAAAACCUGUCUCAGUCCGGAUUGAAGUCUGCAACUCGACUUCAUGAAGGCGGAAUCGCUAGUAACCGCGAAUCAGCAGGUCGCGGUGAAUACGUUCCCGGGCCUU